rnacentral:misc_RNA from 1 species
GAUGAAGAACGCAGCGAAAUGCGAUAAGUAAUGUGAAUUGCAGAAUUCAGUGAAUCAUCGAAUCUUUGAACGCACCUUGCGCUCCUUGGUAUUCCGAGGAGCAUGCCUGUUUGAGUGUCAUGAAAUUCUCAACCUUUUCAGCUUUCUUUGUUGAUCAGGCUUGGAUGUGGGAGUAUGCGGGCUUCUCAGAAGUCGGCUCUCCUGAAAUGCAUUAGCGGGACCUUGUUGCCUGGCUUUGGUGUGAUAAUUAUCUACGCCAUUGUAGUCAAGCAGCUUAAAAUGAGGUUUCAGCUUCUAACCGUCUCCCCUGAGACAACUUUUUGACAAUUUGACCUCAAAUCAGGUAGGACUACCCGCUGAACUUAAGCAUAUCAAUAAGCGGAGGA